AUUGAACGCUGGCGGAAUGCUUUACACAUGCAAGUCGAACGGCAGCACGGACUUCGGUCUGGUGGCGAGUGGCGAACGGGUGAGUAAUGUAUCGGAACGUGCCCAGUCGUGGGGGAUAACGUAGUGAAAAUUACGCUAAUACCGCAUACGAUCUAUGGAUGAAAGCGGGGGAUCGCAAGACCUCGCGCGAUUGGAGCGGCCGAUAUCAGAUUAGGUAGUUGGUGGGGUAAAGGCCCACCAAGCCAACGAUCUGUAGCUGGUCUGAGAGGACGACCAGCCACACUGGAACUGAGACACGGUCCAGACUCCUACGGGAGGCAGCAGUGGGAACUUUGGACAAUGGGCGAAAGCCUGAUCCAGCCAUUCCGCGUGCAGGAUGAAGGCCCUCGGGUUGUAAACUGCUUUUGUACAGAACGAAAAGGUUUCUACUAAUACUAGGGGCUCAUGACGGUACUGUAAGAAUAAGCACCGGCUAACUACGCGCCAGCCGCCGCAGUAA
rnacentral:rRNA from 1 species